GAUGAACGCUGGCGGCGUGCCUAAUACAUGCAAGUCGAGCGAACAGACGAGGAGCUUGCUCCUCUGACGUUAGCGGCGGACGGGUGAGUAACACGUGGAUAACCUACCUAUAAGACUGGGAUAACUUCGGGAAACCGGAGCUAAUACCGGAUAAUAUAUUGAACCGCAUGGUUCAAUAGUGAAAGACGGUUUUGCUGUCACUUAUAGAUGGAUCCGCGCCGCAUUAGCUAGUUGGUAAGGUAACGGCUUACCAAGGCAACGAUGCGUAGCCGACCUGAGAGGGUGAUCGGCCACACUGGAGCUGAGACACGGUCCAGACUCCUACGGGAGGCAGCAGUAGGGAAUCUUCCGCAAUGGGCGAAAGCCUGACGGAGCAACGCCGCGUGAGUGAUGAAGGUCUUCGGAUCGUAAAACUCUGUUAUUAGGGAAAAACAAAUGUGUAAGUAACUAUGCACGUCUUGACGGUACCUAAUCAGAAAGCCACGGCUAACUACGUG
rnacentral:rRNA from 1 species